AUUGAACGCUGGUGGCAGGCCUAACACAUGCAAGUCGAGCGAGCGGCGGACGGGUGAGUAAUGUCUGGGAAACUGCCUGAUGGAGGGGGAUAACUACUGGAAACGGUAGCUAAUACCGCAUACCAUCAGCUGUGCCCAGAUGGGAUUAGCUAGUAGGGGGGGUAACGGCUCACCUAGGCGACGAUCCCUAGCUGGUCUUAGAGGAUGACCAGCAACACUGGAACUGAGACACGGUCCAGACUCCUACGGGAGGCAGCAGUGGGGAAUAUUGCACAAUGGGCGCAAGCCUGAUGCAGCCAUGCCGCGUGUGUGAAGAAGGCUUUCGGGUGGUAAAGCACUUUCAGCGGGGAGGCGGUACCCGCAGAAGAAGCACCGGCUAACUCCGUGCCAGCAGCCGCGGUAAUUC
rnacentral:rRNA from 1 species